rnacentral:tRNA from 1 species
GGUCGGAUAGCUCAGUCGGUAGAGCAGAGGACUGAAAAUCCUCGUGUCGGCGGUUCGAUUCCGUCUCCGACCACCA